GAUGAAGAACGCAGCGAAAUGCGAUACUUGGUGUGAAUUGCAGAAUCCCGUGAACCAUCGAGUCUUUGAACGCAAGUUGCGCCUCAAGCCAUUAGGUUGAGGGCACGUCUGCCUGGGCGUCACAUAUCGUUGCCUGAUGCCAGUUUCCUCGUGAUGGGUGACUGUGCAGGGCGAAUGAUGGCUUCCCGUGAGCAUUGUUGCCUCAUGGUUGGUUGAAAAUUGAGUCCUUGGUAGGGAGCGCCAUGAUAGAUGGUGGUUGAGUGACGAACGAGACCCAAUCAUGUGAGACCCCUACCGAAUUUGGCCUUCAUGACCCACAUGCGUCUUUGGAACGCUCAUGACGAGACCUCAGGUCAGGCGGGGCUACCCGCUGAGUUUAAGCAUAUCAAUAAGCGGAGGA
rnacentral:misc_RNA from 1 species